rnacentral:tRNA from 1 species
GCGGGCGUAGCUCAAUGGUAGAGCUGCCGCCUUCCAAGCCGAUGACGAGGGUUCGAUUCCCUUCGCCCGCUCCA